UCACCUAAAGAUAAAACAUUGGUUAUUUUCAUUAUGUGCUCUUUCUCUAGUAUACAGUGUAAAAUACUAAUUUUGCUGUGCUAUAGGACACUUGCUGUGUUCCUUUCCACAAAUGCGUAGCUUGUUGUGGGAAGCCACUGUAUCUGUGCAAUACCACCCAGGAGUAUCAUUCACAUGCAGCUUAAAGCAAAAGUUCCAUGAGGCCUCAUGGAGUAAGCUGUGAGGUGAGAUUCCAGGAGAGUUAGUGAAAUUAUAGAAGGCUUUGGAAUACAGGAAUGCAUCUUCUCACCAGGCAUCUUUCACAGUCAAGUUUUAGCCUGCUCUUGCUACAGAUUCUU